CGGGGGGAGCUAAGCGUUGUUCGGAUUUACUGGGCGUAAAGGGCGCGUAGGCGGCGCAACAAGUCACUUGUGAAAUCUCCGGGCUUAACCCGGAGCGGCCAAGUGAUACUGUCGUGCUAGAGUGCGGAAGGGGCUACUGGAAUUCUCGGUGUAGCGGUGAAAUGCGUAGAUAUCGAGAGGAACACCUGCGGCGAAGGCGGGUAGCUGGGCCGACACUGACGCUGAUGCGCGAAAGCCAGGGGAGCGAACGGGAUUAGAUACCCCGGUAGUCCUGGCCUUAAACGAUGGAUACUUGGUGUCCGGGGUUACAUAGUCCCCGGGUGCCGGCGCUAACGCUUUAAGCAUUCCGCCUGGGGAGUACGGUCGCAAGACUG
rnacentral:rRNA from 1 species